rnacentral:misc_RNA from 1 species
GCCACCUUCCACUCUCAUCGCAAGUCAGCUAUUUCCCAAUGCCUUCAUCAGCAACGCUUUUUUUUUUUUCCCCUAAACUCAUCUACGCAAGCAAAAAUUAGUUCUUUAGGAGAAACGGAUUGUUCUGUAAGUGACAAAGCUUGACUUCCAACAAGUAUAUUGCUACAUUAUAUUUAGCAAUUGCAUAGGUGUGCCCUGUAUAUCAACAUCUAUAUUCCAUCUAAACACAAUAACUUAUGAAUAGUUGUCACAACCUGUUAGCAAUUGGGUAGGAGUGCCCUAUAUAUCAACAUCUAUAUUUCACAUAAACAUGAUCCCUUCUAAAAGUUGUUUCAACCUGCUCUCU